AGUCGACGCAGCUCAACACAUCAGCCGUCCAGCCAUGAGGAUCCUAGCAGUGGUGCUGUUGGUGGUGCUGGCGGUGGCCGCCUGCUCGGCCGCCUUCGCCCCCGCCGCCGCCCCCGCCUUGGCCGCCGCCCCCGGGCGCGACAAGCGCGGCGUGCUGCUGGCCGCCCCCCACGUGGUGGCCGCCCCCGCGGUCGUGCCUGCCGCCCGCUUCGUCGCCGCCGCCGUGCACGGGCCCAUCAUCUACGGCUGAUCACCACUGUAGCCCUCCACUUACCGGAAAUAAACGGCAGUCGACUGCUUAGAGCAUAA
rnacentral:lncRNA from 1 species